UACAGGGGGGGCAAGCGUUGUUCGGAAUUACUGGGCGUAAAGGGCUCGUAGGUGGCCAACUAAGUCAGACGUGAAAUCCCUCGGCUUAACCGGGGAACUGCAUCUGAUACUGGAUGGCUUGAGUUCGGGAGAGGGAUGCGGAAUUCCAGGUGUAGCGGUGAAAUGCGUAGAUAUCUGGAGGAACACCGGUGGCGAAGGCGGCACCCUGGACCGACACUGACGCUGAGGAGCGAAAGCCAGGGGAGCAAACGGG
rnacentral:rRNA from 1 species